rnacentral:rRNA from 1 species
ACAUGCAAGUCGAACGGGGACCUUCAGUGUAGCAUUACAUCAUAUGUCCUAGUGGCGCAGGGGUGAGUAACACGUGGGUAACUUGCCCUUGAGUUCGGGAUACCCUCUCGAAGGGGAGGCUAAUACCGGAUACGUUCCUCGGGUUGCGAAAUCUGGGGAGGAAAGGUGGCGAAAGCUGCCGCUCUUGGAGAGGCUCGCGGCCUAUCAACUAGUUGGUGAGGUAACGGCUCACCAAGGCUAUGACGGGUAGCUGGUCUGAGAGGACGACCAACCACACGGGAAAUGAGACACGGUCCCGACUCCUACGGGAGGCAGCACUGGGGAAUUUUCCGCAAUGGGCGAAAGCCUGACGGAGUGACGCCGCGUGGGGGACGAAGGCCUUCGGGUUGUAAACCCCUGUCAGAGGGAAAGAAGGGUGUCGGCGCGAUAACCGACGGCAUCUGACGGUACCUUCAGAGGAAGCCCCGGCCAACUCUGUGCCAGCAGCCGCGGUAAGACAGAGGGGGCAAGCGUUGCUCGGAAUCACUGGGCGUAAAGGGCGCGUAGGCGGGAUGGCAAGUCAGUCGUGAAAUCUCUCGGCUCAACCGAGAAACGUCGGCUGAUACUGCCGUUCUUGAGGGAUGCAGAGGAGACUGGAAUUCCCGGUGUAGCGGUGAAAUGUGUAGAGAUCGGGAGGAACACCGGUGGCGAAGGCGGGUCUCUGGGCAUCUCCUGACGCUGAGGCGCGAAAGCCUGGGGAGCAAACGGGAUUAGAUACCCCGGUAGUCCACGCCGUAAACGAUGACGACUAGGUGUGGGGUGGUUCAGUCCAUUCCGUGCCGCAGCUAACGC